rnacentral:rRNA from 1 species
UGGGGAAUUUUAGACAAUGGGGGAAACCCUGAUCUAGCCAUGCCGCGUGAGUGACGAAGGCCUUAGGGUCGUAAAGCUCUUUCGCCAGGGAAGAUAAUGACGGUACCUGGUAAAGAAGUCCCGGCUAACUCCGUGCCAGCAGCCGCGGUAAUACGGAGGGGACUAGCGUUGUUCGGAAUUACUGGGCGUAAAGCGCGCGUAGGCGGGCUGUUAAGUCAGAGGUGAAAUCCCAGGGCUCAACCCUGGAACUGCCUUUGAUACUGGCGGCCUUGAGUUCGAGAGAGGUGAGUGGAAUUCCGAGUGUAGAGGUGAAAUUCGUAGAUAUUCGGAGGAACACCAGUGGCGAAGGCGGCUCACUGGCUCGAUACUGACGCUGAGGUGCGAAAGUGUGGGGAGCAAACAGGAUUAGAUACCCCCGUAGUCC